CGUAGGGUGCGAGCGUUGUCCGGAAUUACUGGGCGUAAAGGGNUCGUAGGUGGUUUGUCGCGUCGUCUGUGAAAUUCCGGGGCUUAACUCCGGGCGUGCAGGCGAUACGGGCAUAACUUGAGUACUGUAGGGGUAACUGGAAUUCCUGGUGUAGCGGUGAAAUGCGCAGAUAUCAGGAGGAACACCGAUGGCGAAGGCAGGUUACUGGGCAGUUACUGACGCUGAGGAGCGAAAGCAUGGGUAGCGAACAGGAUUAGAUACCCUGGUAGUCCAUGCCGUAAACGGUGGGCGCUAGGUGUGAGGGUCUUUUCACGACUUUCGUGCCGUAGCUAACGCAUUAAGCGCCCCGCCUGGGGAGUACGGCCGCAAGGCUAAAACUCAAAGGAAUUGACGGGGGCCCGCACAAGCGGCGGAGCAUGUGGAUUAAUUCGAUGCAACGCGAAGAACCUUACCUGGGCUUGACAUACACCGGAUCGGGCUAGAGAUAGUCUUUCCCUUUGUGGCUGGUGUACAGGUGGUGCAUGGUUGUCGUCAGCUCGUGUCGUGAGAUGUUGGGUUAAGUCCCGCAACGAGCGCAACCCUUGUCUUAUGUUGCCAGCAUUUGGUUGGGGACUCAUGAGAGACUGCCGGGGUCAACUCGGAGGAAGGUGGGGAUGACGUCAAAUCAUCAUGCCCCUUAUGUCCAGGGCUUCACACAUGCUACAAUGGUCGGUACAACGCGCAGCGACACUGUGAGGUGGAGCGAAUCGCUGAAAGCCGGCCUUAGUUCGGAUUGGGGUCUGCAACUCGACCCCAUGAAGUCGGAGUCGCUAGUAAUCGCAGAUCAGCAAUGCUGCGGUGAAUACGUUCCCGGGCCUUGUACACACCGCCCGUCACGUCAUGAAAGUUGGUAACACCCGAAGCCGGUGGCCCAAACUUGUUAGGGAGCCGUCGAAGGUGGGAUCGGCGAUUGGGACGAAGUCGUAACAAGGUAACCAAUCGAAUUCCCGCGGGCCGCCNUNNCGGCCGGAG
rnacentral:rRNA from 1 species